rnacentral:rRNA from 1 species
AGUAUUUUGACUAUACAAAGGUAUUGAAAUAAGAUUUUAAUUGAAUGCUAAGAGAAUGGAAUUUCAGAAAAAAACUUUUUUCAAGUUAAAAAUUGAAAUUUUUUUAAUUUGUGCAGAAACAAUUAUUAAUAUUAAGGACAAGAAGACCCUAUGAAUUUAUAAAUUUUAUUUAAUAUGUAACUACUAUUGAAAAAAUUUUAGCUGGGGCGGCGGAAAAAUAUUUAAAACUUUUUUAAAAUAAAAUGACCCAUUAUUAAUGAUUAUAUGUUAAAUACUCUAGGGAUAACAGCGUUAUAUUUUUUGAUAGAUCAUAUUGACAAAAAAGUUUGCGACCUCGAUGUUGGAUUAGGAUACUUUUUUAAUGCAGAUAUUAAAAAAAGAAGUUUGUUCAAC